rnacentral:rRNA from 1 species
UACAGAGGUCUCAAGCGUUGUUCGGAUUCAUUGGGCGUAAAGGGCGCGUAGGCGGCGGGGUCAGUCGGGUGUGAAAUCUUGGGGCUUAACCCCGAAACGGCACUCGAAACUGCCCGGCUGGAGGGCCGGAGAGGAGAUCGGAAUUCACGGUGUAGCAGUGAAAUGCGUAGAGAUCGUGAGGAAGACCCGUGGCGAAGGCGGAUCUCUGGACGGCUAACUGACGCUGAGGCGCGAAGGCCUGGGGAGCAAACGGG